rnacentral:rRNA from 1 species
UACGGGGGGGGCAAGCGUUGUUCGGAAUUACUGGGCGUAAAGGGCGCGUAGGCGGCCUGCUAAGUCGGAUGUGAAAUCCCUCGGCUCAACCGAGGAACUGCAUCCGAUACUGGCGGGCUUGAAUCCGGGAGAGGGAUGUGGAAUUCCAGGUGUAGCGGUGAAAUGCGUAGAUAUCUGGAGGAACACCGGGUGGCGAAGGCGGCAUCCUGGACCGGUAUUGACGCUGAGGCGCGAAAAGCUAGGGGAGCAACGGG